GAAUAUAGCCUACCUACAAACCUAGAAGAUUACACCAUGAUUAAUGGGGGUUCUUAGGGCACAUAUGAUGCAUACCAACAAAAGAGACGUCAACAUUUGAGUUCGGCUGCUAAUUCUUACCUUCUUUUUACAUCAAUCAUAGAUAUAGUAUUAAAAAAACAUAAUAGAGAAAUCAAGAAAGAUCUGUUGCACAUGCUAAAUAAUUACACCAAUAGUUCAAUAGAUUUCCAAAACCAUCAUCUCUUUACGACUAAGAGACUAAGGAUAAACACUAGUACCACAACAAAUCUAUAUUUUGUUCAGCGUACCUUAAGAAUUCAUGUAAAUAGCACUUAGAUAACAUGUUACAGUAAUCUUAAGUAUAUAUAAACUAUGACGCAGAAUGACAUAAUUUCUCAAACAUACAAGUUUAACUAUAAGAUUGCAAAGACAUGAUACAUGAUGCAGAAUUUGAGGACAUAUGCUGAAUGCAGAACUGUAAAGACAUGAUGAAGAAUGCAAACAUCAGAAUGCAGAACUGUAAGGACAUGAUGCAGAAUCCAGAACUGUAAAUACGUGAUGCAGAAUGCAAACAUCAGAAUGCAUAGUGUAGAAUCCAGAAUUGUAAAGACAUGGUGCAGAAUGCAGAACACUAAAGACAUGAUGCAUAAUGCAAACAUCAGAAUGCUGAGUGCAGAAUCCAGAACUGUAAAGACAUGAUGCAGAAUGCAAAAUGUAGGACACUCAUACAACAACCGAAAUUAAAUUAUAAAAUUACAGGAACGGACCAUAGUGACCACGAAGGGUUGGUGGAUAACACAAGUAAAAAGUUUCUCAGACAUUUAAACUACAUAAGUCUCACAUACCUUCAAAAAUAUAUAAUUAUGUGAGACUCAACUAAUUCAAAGAGAUGUACUACCUGUCGCAGAAAGUGUGCUACACUUGCAAUCUCCUCAGACCUCCUAAAGCCCAAACCUGAAAAAAA